rnacentral:rRNA from 1 species
GGCUCAGGAUGAACGCUGGCGGCGUGCUUAACACAUGCAAGUCGAACGGUGAAGCCCCGCUUGCGGGGUGGAUCAGUGGCGAACGGGUGAGUAACACGUGAGCAACCUGCCCCUGACUCUGGGAUAAGCGCUGGAAACGGCGUCUAAUACUGGAUACGAACCGCAGCCGCAUGGCUCGUGGUUGGAAAGAUUUUUUGGUUGGGGAUGGGCUCGCGGCCUAUCAGCUUGUUGGUGAGGUAAUGGCUCACCAAGGCGUCGACGGGUAGCCGGCCUGAGAGGGUGACCGGCCACACUGGGACUGAGACACGGCCCAGACUCCUACGGGAGGCAGCAGUGGGGAAUAUUGCACAAUGGGCGAAAGCCUGAUGCAGCAACGCCGCGUGAGGGACGACGGCCUUCGGGUUGUAAACCUCUUUUAGCAAGGAAGAAGCGAAAG